GUGGCAGCUCUUGUUGCCUGGCAACCCCUUGGUCCCCUACACUGAAGUAGAACAAAGCAGGAGGGGGGAGUGGCCAAAGGCAGGUGGUGGUCCCCACAGCCUUGCCAGAGAGGCCUAUCUCACUGAGACGGGUAGGAGAGAUAAGCUUUUGGAGAGACCUGGGAAGCUGGCUUCCCUGGGGUUAACUCACCUAGGCAUAGCUAGUCAGGGCCAGAAGAGCUGCCCAGAUGACCACCAAAGUGAACACCUGUGCUAGGUCCUGGCUGUGCAGUCAUGGUUGGUCAGAAUAUGGGCCCAGCACCCCCACCCGGCCCAGCUCAGCCACACCGUGUAUCCUGAACACUCCAGGAAGGGCCUGCAGUGUUUCCAGAACAUCAGCCUGGCGCACCCUUGGUGAUGUGUUCUUAAAGUCUGCUCGAAGGCCAAGUGGUGGAAGGCAUCAUCCAUGGCUGGAGACACACCCUCGCUGUUCUAGGCCUGGGCUGGGUGGACAUGCUUAAAGACAAAACUCCCUUCCCUUCAACAAAUAAAGGUCAAGGAAGAAAAGAAAGAGGUGGGUGGAGUGGUCAUAAACUAAAAAUGGACUGCCAGGCAUGGUGGCUCACGCCUAUAAUCCCAGUACUCGGGAGGCUGAGGCAGGAGGAUCGCUGUGAGUUCGAGACCACCCUGGGCUACAUAGUGAGUUCCAGGUCAAUCUCAACUACAUAGUGAGACCCUGUCUCAAAAAACCAAAACAAACAACAAACAAACAAAAAAAUAAAAAAAAAAUGGACUUAAGAAAUGUUACCCAAAUGCAAUGUGUGGACAACAUUUUUGAGGUUCAAAAGGGAAGACAUCAACUACAAAAGAGAUGUAAGAGAGUAAAUGAGAAAACCUCACCACUGCAAUUGAAUUAAAAAUUUAAAGGUUUAGUAAUGGUAUUGUGGUAUGUGAAAAAUGGGGCAGUUUUUCUCUUAGAUGUCCAUGGUGCCAUUCAUAGAAAAGGUGGUCACCAACAAAACUGUCUUCCCUUGGCUUUCACAGAUGUGGAAGCAGGUUGAGACUGGGUACCAGGGCACACUACCCCCCCACUUUUGUGUUACAGUUUUGCACGUUGACAUUUCCAGAAUGGAAAUGUUUUGUUUUGCUUUGCUUUGAACAAAACUUCCAAGUAAUUUUGCUGCACAGCUGGGGUUGAGAACCACUGAUGUUGAAAAUACAGAAAAACCC
rnacentral:lncRNA from 1 species